GGGCAGGAGCAGGGCUGCCCGUGGCCGGGAGUCCAGGUAGCUGCUCUUCGAAGCCCCGAGUCCCAGGCAGAGCCCUCAGUGGGGGUCAUUUCAGCUCCCUCUCCCUCGGGUGGUGGCUGCUUGUUAUGAAGACAAAACGGCAGCUUCUUCAAGUCCCAGGGGCAGGCUGGGUCGCAGGGCAGCUCCAGCCAGAGCGGAGGACGCCCUCCACGUGGGGCCUCCCUUCCGGGGGAGGUGAGGCUCCGGAUGGGGAGCGGUUUUCACAUAAAUAGACUCGUUAAUGAUCUUUCUCUCCGUUAGAAAUGAUUGAAUUAAUGCAUUUCUAAGCAGAAAGGCAGCUGCUUUGGAGCAGAAUAUCAAGCCCCGUACAUCUCAGGGUCCACGCGGUUUGUCAGAGAGCGAUGCUCGCCUUGCACCUGCCCUCCCAGCCCACCGGGCCGUGGUCACCGACAAGGUCACAGCCAUGCAGCGCCCUGCACACCCAGACCUGGCGGCAGGGUGCCCUGCAGCCUUCUGGUCGCGGCUUGCUUUCAGCAUUUUCUUGUGGAAGCACUGGUCAGCACUUUGAAGGAAGGGUUCCUGCUCACGGGAGACAGAUACGGGCUACAUACAAGCAGCCUCUGGCUCCAGAACCUUGCUCAGCGGAGUAGCCCCGUCAGGGAGGGCGAGUCUUCUGGGGGACUCGGGGGCGAUGCCCUGCUGCAGGGCUGCCUUCCACGUGGCUGUGCGACAGUCUGACUUCUCACCAGGUCCAGCUGCCUCCACCUCGGCCUGACUCGCCCUUGAUUGCAGCCUCUGAAGCUCAGCACGGGGGUGUUCAGAACUUGCUCCCUUCAAAGUCCUGCCACAGAAAUGCUCCCGCUGCAGUGCGCAGAAGUGAGCGGGGCAGGCCCCGGGGACCUCUGGCCACAGCUGUGCGGUUCCAAGGCGGCGGAGUGAUUCUGCGCAGGGUGAAGCGACUUCUAGAGUGAAGCAAUGCCAGCUGUCACUAAGGGGCCCGUCUUCGGCAGAUGCCAGCCUCAUGCGUAGUCCUCAGGCCGUGCCAGCCGAGGUGGUCUGAAUGGUUGAGAGAGACAGACGGACAGGCAGAGACAGACAGAGGGAGGGAGAGCAAGGCAGAAGAGCCAGUCCCUUUCUCAGGCCCAGUGUGUGAGACCAACGGAAUGAAAUUUCAAUUCCAUCAUAAUUUAACCGAGCGGCAGACUUCCUCUCCAGAGUGUGCCACAGUGAACUUUCCCUUGUCUGACUUUUGGUGUCCCCGAAGCCACGUGCGGCGGUAUCAAGCUGAGACCUCCUGGAGGACCUCCAGCAGCAGCUCAGGACCCGGGGGAGUGGGCGGGGCCUGGGGUCACGUGAGCUGGAGGGCCGCACUGAUUGGCAGCACACUGGAGGAGCCCGCGAUGAAGACGCCGGAACCACCCGAAGGUCUGGCAGGAUGCGUGACCUGUGUGGCGCGGGUCAGAUCCCAGCCAGGACCUCAGAGAGGCUGACCCACUAGCCAUUAAGAAGAGGCCCAGAGGGCGGGGAGGGCAGGGAAGGAGGAGCAGCGGAGAACCCGACCUGAAACCUGUGUGCCCAAGCUUACCUGCGCCUCGCUGCCCGCACAUGGGACAGGGGACACCAGCGACCUCCGGGAGAGGAGGCGGCCCCGCUGAGGAGCAAAGCCCAGACUUGACUUCAGGCUUGAAUAUUGACAUUUCAAUCAGGACGGGACUUUUUACCUCCCAAGAUAGGAGUCAGGAAAUGACAGAGAGAAUCUGAGUUUUCUUUCCCAGAGGACUUUUUGCGGCCAGUUUUUGUGUUGCGCUGCGGGGAGCUGGGGAGGAAGGCCUUCACCUGUCCCCUCCAGUGUGACCAGGGACCUCUGCAAGGCUCAGGGCUGCUUUUGUGUCCCCCGCCCGGGCCUUCCCCUCGCGCCGUCGUGCCUGUGGCCGGGCCCUCCACUGGCGAUGUCUAGGACGUGUUCAUCAGUUACUCGCUCCCCUGUGGCCACACUUGACCUCUUGGAGGUGCCCAGAACGUUUGUUUCCUUCUUUUUUUUUUUGUGAGGGCCUCCAUUUCACAUGGCUCCGAGUACUGUUCUAGGUGCUUUUUUACUUCACCAGAAAGGUGGGUCGUCCUUCUCACCAGGGGAAAAGGACAACUGGGUUCCAUGGACUGGCCUUUGCCCCCGGCACCUCCCCUAAGGUCACGGUUGAAGUGAACUUUUGAGAGGUUGCAAGCCCAUGGGGCUGUUGGGUUCAGGGGGCACCCAGCUGUGGAGGCCUCGGGAGACAGUGGCACAGGAGAAAUGAGGAGGACGGAGUGGUCUGGGAGAGUUGGGUCCUGAGUCCCCCUGAGGACAUGGGGAAUCUCCCUCCCUGAAGGAUCCCUGCAGCCCUGGGCACUGGUAGCUCUGUGGAACCAGAGGCAAAUGCAGACUGGCCAGAGGUCUGGAGGUGCAACUAGAUGUGCCACCUGGACCACCCACUUCCCUGUAGCCAAGGUGGAGCCCCUUUCCAGAUGACUAAUACACCCCUCUCUCGGUCAGUGACGGCAGGUGUCUGAUGGCAGGGAUGCCUGCCCUGGGGGCCAGUGCUCCAGCUUCCCUGCCCCCAGGUGUGCUGUGCACCAGAGUCUUCUGAGAGGAAAAUGAACAGCUCAAAGGAAAGCAUCAAGACAUUGCUAUUGGGACUUUGCCAGAUCAUCUAACCUCAAGAUUAAAGAAUUACCUGAGGCUUGUACGUUUUGAUUUCUCAGUUUUAACAUCUUCAUCUUUAAUCCAUCUGGGAUUUGCUUAGGUAAACAGGCAUGUUUUUCUAUGUUACCAUGCUGCAGAGCUACUGCUUGGUAAAUGUGGCCAAGUGGUGGGUAAACGAAAGGCAGGGUUUGAGGCAGAGAGGGAACUGUGUGUACUGAGGGAGUUAAUUCUGAUUCCUAGCUGCCAGGGGGUCGCCAGAGCCACCAAGGCAGAAAGCGGCCAAGCUGACCUAAUGGUUUCUCCUCGGAAGACUCUUGCAGCCAGGUCAUGGCCAGCAGGUGGCCCUGGGCAGGUCCAGGGACCCCCAAGGGGACAGCUGGGGUCCCUGUGAAACUGAGGUCCAUCAUCUCUGUAUUUUGUGCAGAUUCUCCCUGUAAAAGGCAGAGAAUGAAAACUCUCCACUAGAGGCCCUGGAUUUCAAGUACUUUGAGGAUUAAGGCCGGCAAUUCUGGUCAGUGAUGUUCAGUAUGGCUCUCUGCAGCCAGUGACUGGAAACUCUGCACUGUUCCCUGGGCCACUACCUCUGUGCAACCCGAAGGGCACAGUGUGUCCUGUUUCCUGACUCAAACGCAGGCCUGCUCUGGGGUGGUUGAUCUGAAGUGGGGACUUGGCUGGGCUCAGGGUGGAUCAUUGUCACUGGGUGUGUCUGUGAGGGGGCUCUAGGGGUGACAUUUGUAUUGUAGACUGAGUCAAGAAGAAGCACUCAGCAUGUGGGUGGGCAUCUUCCACCCACUGGGGGCCCGAGUAAGCAGAAAGCAGAGGAAAGGUGACCUUCUCUCCGUGCUUGACCUCCACCUCCACCUCUGGGCUCCCUGCUGUCAGCACCUGGUUAGCAGCCUUAGGAUUCAAGCCGGCUCCUACCCUGCACUCUCCUUCUUCAGGGCCGCGGCUGGGGGCCUCCUCACCCUCCGCCCCAUGAGCCACUCUGACAGUUAACUCAGGCCAUGUGCACAUAUUCCUGCUCUGUUUCUCGGGAGAACCCUGACUGAUACCUGCUCCCAUGGAAGGGAGAAUAAAAUGGCUCGGGGCACACACUCCAACCUCUUAAAGACCCUCUUGGUGGAAUGUGGUGACUAUUACUACAUCCUGGAGACCUUAAGAAACUUCCAGUACCAGGCCACUCCCAGGGCGAGGAGCUCAGAGUCCUUGAAGUUGAGACAUGUCUAUCCAAAAUUGUUUGAGGUUCCCAUAUGAUUCUAAUGGGCAGAAAAAUUUCAGAAGCACUGAACAAUGAUAACCAGAAAGAAAAGUGAAUCACAAGAUUGUGACUGUAUUGGAGGGUUGCACUAGAGAAGUCAGUGUCUGCAGCCUGUGGGGGCUGCUAACACGCAGGUUAGGCUGGCCCCACCCCAGGUCCCUGGCCCUGCAGGUCUAGGUGGUGCCGAAACACUGCACCUCUAGCUAGCCUCCAGGUGAUGCUGCUAGUUUAGAGACCACAUUGGGAGCUCUCCCCCAUUAUAUAAUAUGAUAAGAAGACUAGGCAUUACCAAAAAAUCUCCAUACCACUGCUUGCCGUGACUAGCUUGAAGAUGAACUUGGAAUUUUAAUAAUUGAGGCCCACAGAAAAGUUAGGUCUUUGAGAAAAGCUUAGCAAACUCAAGCAAUUCUUCCCCUGGGCCUUGGUGGAAAAAAUGUCAAGCAAUGUGGUUCCCCAGGGCUUCCGAGGGGGUUUGCCAAUCUGAAGGGCACACUGCCGUACUCUCAUCUAGAAAUCAGAAGCCCCAGGUGGAAGAUGGAAGGGAAUCAUCCUAGUGCUCUUAGGAAGAAGAUCCACGGGUGUACUUGUAGGGAGAUGGGGUAGUUUCCCUCUGCCUCUCCUACAAGGAGAAGUGGACACUGUAUAGAAAACACACAUGAGACUCAGAGUUGAAGAGAAACAGGCCCACUCAGGAGCAGCAUGGCAGUGAGCAUCCUGGAUCUUCUUCCUGCCAAAAUUGGUGAGAAGUCCACAAACUGCAAAUACCCAAGGAUGAAGAUCAAAAAUGGCCCAACAAGAGUUGCAGGGUCAUUCUUCCCAAAGUGGAUGUUAACGAGUGGUUCUGAGCUUUCUCCUGGGGUCAGGGUUUCUCAGUAUCCCCCAGGGAUUCUGUGAAUCAGUCAGCCAACUAGAUCCCUGGAACAGCAUCAGCAAACUAGAUCCAGGAUCAGAUCUGUCCAGGGCCCCUGUUUGUACAUUAAGUUAAUCUUUACUGGAGGUCA